GAUGAACGCUGGCGGCGUGCCUAGUACAUGCAAGUCGAGCGAACGGACGAGAAGCUUGCUUCUCUGAUGUUAGCGGCGGACGGGUGAGUAACACGUGGAUAACCUACCUAUAAGACCGGGAUAACUUCGGGAAACCGGAGCUAAUACCGGAUAAUAUUUUGAACCGCAUGGUUCAAAAGUGAAAGACGGUCUUGCUGUCACUUAUAGAUGGAUCCGCGCUGCAUUAGCUAGUUGGUAAGGUAACGGCUUACCAAGGCAACGAUGCAUAGCCGACCUGAGAGGGUGAUAGGCCACACUGGAACGGGAACACGGUCCAGACUCCUACGGGAGGCAGCAGUAGGGAAUCUUCCGCAAUGGGCGAAAGCCUGACGGAGCAACGCCGCGUGAGUGAUGAAGGUCUUCGGAUCGUAAAACUCUGUUAUUAGGGAAGAACAUAUGUGUAAGUAACUGUGCACAUCUUGACGGUACCUAAUCAGAAAGCAACGGCUAGCUACGUG
rnacentral:rRNA from 1 species